AACUUUUGGCAAUGGAUCUCUUGGCUCUCGCAUCGAUGAAGAACGCAGCGAAAUGCGAUAAGUAAUGGGAAUUGCAGAUUUUCAGUGAAUCAUCGAAGCUUUGAACGCACCUUGCGCUCCUUGGUAUUCCGAGUAGCAUGCCUGUUUGAGUGUCAUUAAAUCCUCAACCCCACUGAUUCGCUUCAGGGGGAUUGGACUUGGAGUGUGCUGGCGAAGGUCGGCUCCUCUUUAAAUGCAUCAGUGGAGAGAAACUUGCCCCAGUGUGAUAAUCCUGUUGCGCUGUGGGUAGGUGAAAGUCCGCUUCCAACCGUCCUUCACGGGACAAACAUCUCAAUUUGACCUCAAAUCAGGUAGGACUCCCCGCUGAACUUAAGCAUAUCAAUAAGCGGAGGCU
rnacentral:misc_RNA from 1 species